UACAGAGGUCUCAAGCGUUGUUCGGAUUCAUUGGGUGUAAAGGGUGCGUAGGUGGCAUGGUCAGUCGGAUGUGAAAUCCCGGGGCUCAACCCCGGAACUGCAUUCGAUACUGCCGAGCUAGAGUACUGGAGAGGAGAUUGGAAUUUACGGUGUAGCAGUGAAAUGCGUAGAUAUCGUAAGGAAGACCAGUGGCGAAGGCGGAUCUCUGGACAGUUACUGACACUGAGGCACGAAGGCCAGGGGAGCAAACGGG
rnacentral:rRNA from 1 species